CUGCUGCCAAAUUCAGCCCGCCCUCCAUAACAAUCUCCAUGGCCAAUGGAAGUCUCUGGGUGGCGGUAAAGUUUCCUUGUGCUCCAUCCAUAAGCUGCACAUUUGAAGGUGAUGAUGAAUUUGAUGAGGAGGAGGAGGAGGAGGAGGAGGAGGAGAUAGGAUGCCCCUGUCUUGUAACUGAUGUUGUUAAAAGUCUCUGGGCAACAGUCACUCUAUACAAUGAACAGAAUCUCUCAGACAAACAGGCACACACCGCUGAAGUGAUGCGUGAAACCCCAUUCAAGGUGGAAUUUGGUUUUCUUACACCAGGGCAAGUGUACUGUGCUGUGGCCAACUUCACAUUUGAGGGUGUGCUGGUCCCUUCUCCCCCGAGCAUCCCGCAGUGUGUUUACAUACCAGCAAAUAACGGCUUUACUUCGAGACCUGGAACUUCAGAAAAAGACUUCUGUUGACUCCAGUGAAGCUGCACCACACAACGGGAGCUCUGAGGGUGACCACGUUUCUGUUGUUUCCUUCUCUGACUUUACACUCACGGACACCCAGUCUUCUUACUACAACACCCAAAGUCUGGCCAACGGCUGUUACACAAGCCCCAUCCUGCAAAAUCCAGACUGCACUGAGGAAUCUGCGCCGUCUGAAGAGUUGAGCACAGAAGUCCAACAUGAUAAGUUCUAUCUGUUAACAUCACAUCCAAUUCUAGAAACAGAGGUGGGAUGUCCAUAUCAGAAUCAUUUACUGUCACCCAGAGACAUCCCUCUGAGCUCGGUGCGAGUUGAACACACUCAACAGGACGAGACAUCAACUGAAGACCCAGAGUGGUCUGAAGAUGUCAUGUGGGGAAAACUGAAUAUGAGACC
ensembl:lncRNA